rnacentral:lncRNA from 1 species
GGAGGUGAACAUGCUUCAGUUCAUAAUUCGGUCUGGUCAAAGACAGUUUGAUUUCCUCUGACUUACCUGUGCAGGUAAACAGACUGAGUGUAAAAGCAGAAUCCCUGAACUGUGCCGACGCUGGAGGAUAAAUAAGAAGUUCUUCUUCUUCUCCUGUGAGAACCAAAAAUCCCUGUCACUCCUCCAGAAGGUCCAGAGAGCAGCAGCCAGGUCCAGAUCCUCAGGUGGGGCUCAUCUGUGUGCAUGUCGGCUUAUAAUCGGUCUGUCGUCACUCUUUGUGGUUCAGGAGGAAGUUUUCCUCUUUUUUUCAGUCUGCAGAAAUAUCCUGUCCUAACACGAAGACAUGAGAGGGUUUUUUUUAUGAGAGGUUUUUUCUUCUCAAGAAACAAACGUGCAUUUUCAAAAAUGUCAAAAGCUUCCUCCUCGUCUCCAAACUUUCGAAAAUGAACUCCUCUAUCUUCGAAAAUUGAAAACUGGAUGUCUCCAACAUUAUUACCGGCACAUUUUCCUGUAAUUUAGUCUGACAAUUUUUCUCAUUUCUUCGGAGACCUCCACUCCCUCUCAAUUUAAGAUAAAGCUCUGAGGGUUUGAAAGUGCUGGUCUACACAACACUGGGUUGUAAUAACGUACCCACCUCGACGGUUGAAGAGGCAAAUGUGGACUUUUAUUCGCGCGGCAGACCCUGUUGAAACUGUACAGCUGUGAAACCACAUAACAAUUACUUUUAAGAGAUGACCUGCUGGACCGGGUGGGAUGGGUGAGCAAUAUCAUAUCUCUACAACUCUCUUAUCCCCUCGCCUCCCAUCGUCUGUCAGCCUCCCCCCCGCCCCGCCCUCUCACUGCAUCAGCUCGGAGGUGAGCCGCCUCCCCGGACUGGAGGUGACCCCCCGGACCCUAUUAACAUCACACACGCUCCGAGUGUCCAAAGUCCACUCCCUAAAUGAAGUGUGGGCUCGCUCCCCCUCAGCCCACCGCUGGGUGAAUUAGAUUGCAGCUUUUUAAUACGGCUCUUAAUGGUUUAUAAAUUGCACGUAAUGAUUCCUCCUUUCCUCUCUCUCGCGGUGCGUUUUAUGGCCCCUCGGCUUUCGGAGGGAGUGGGUGGGAUUUAAUAUAUGGUGGAGGAGGCAGAAUGAGGAGGUGAAACUAGCCCUGCACGGCUCUCUGCCUGCCCUUAACGCCUCCCCUGGCUACAGAGGAGGGAGUCUCGGAAAUAACGCCGGACACUGAUACUAUCUGGCUGUAGCGUCUAACGGCGCGGACAUGACAGCGCCGCAUGACGAAGGGGUCACCAGAGGAGCGCAAAUAAUCAGAGCGGUGUUCGGUGGAGGGCUGAGACGGCGAUUUGUGGAGGAGGCCACACCUUAGGGGGAGACAAAAAGAGGCUCAUCCAGGAACACGCUGCAGAACCGAAAAAUGAACAAAAGAAGAAGAAGAAGAAGCAGGUCUUCGUGUGGAGGAGCUCUGCAGCAGGAAGUUUAAUUUACACCUCAUGGACAGAAGAGAGUCGACCUCCUCAUCAACUAGACGGAAAAAUAAAAUCUAUUUCUGGAUCAACCGAACCUGAGCAGCUGAACGUCAACGUAACGAGCUUUUAGGAGCAUUUAGGUUAUUUUUAACUUUAACGUGCCGAUCAGCGAGAACCUUCUGAUAGAUCUGAAAAUAAAACCCUGAAGGAAAUUAAAUUUAGAUAAUGAUCGUGUCCAAAUGAAGCGCUCUGAUAAAUAACAGAUCCUGCAGUCUGUUAAUGAGCGUCUGUUAUUUGAUACCGUCUUCAUUUUUGGACUUUAGGCUCCGUGCUGAAGUUUAUUGACCAGCUGACGGUUAUUUAACGUCUCCAGUUUUACGUUGUUGGUUUUUAUCCCCAUCGCUCAUCCUCCUGGAGCCUAGUUUAAAUUAUUACGAAUCUUCAUUAAAAUAUCAUUAAAUACAGAAAAAGACGCCGCAUAUGUAGGAGUUAAAUAGGUCCAAUAGGUGGCGCUAUCUCCAAGCCAAAAAUUAAUACAUGCGUGGAUCAGUUCAGGCCGGCUCCAUCGUCAUCAAACCGGCGAAACCCGAGCAGACUGGACAACGUAUGUAAAAGUCAUUACCAUGCACUUCCACAGGGUGGCGCUGUGACUGUAGAUGAGAAAAAGACGUGUUCGGGGGGUGGACCGUGAUCAUGUAUAUGAACGCUGAAGAAGGAAGUUAAAAUAACUUCCUGUUUAAUGUUGUGACACCAAAGUUGGAUGAGACUGUCACGACCCGAUCUGUCCCGGAAACCCGGUUUGUACUGAGCAUGUGCGAAAUCUACGUCACUUCCUCUCCUCGUAUUUUGAUGCAUUUUACAGCAGUUAGUUGUUACUUUAGCUACCUACCGGAUCUGUACUGUGCAAGAGCAGAUUUACAUCACCUUAAAAACUUUAUUUAAACUACUGAUCGUGACAGGCUAGCUAGCAGGAGGCUCCAGGGCUAAUGGCGAGGCAUUCGCCAGAGCUCCUGCCCAGAACAGUGAGACCUUUUGGGCCACAGAGAAAGCCGCCGCCCGGUGAAAAUGAUGGUUCUCUGACUUUUCAAAAUAUCAAGGAGGAUUUAUUUCAUUUAUUUUAUAAAUUAAAUUUAUUAAGAAGCCGACACAUUCUGGACAAUGAAUUUCAGUGUUUUAAUUUCAACACUGAAAUAUUCACAUUUAUUUAAGUCUUUUAGAACUACGCUGCAAUUUUACAAUUUAGCUGUAGUAGGAACCUUUAAUCGUGAAACUGGGUGCCUUUCUCUUGACUUUCCAGCGCUCUGUUCAGGGAAAAGUGUGUGGUUAGUGAUAAACUGAAUCAUCCGUUCUGACUGAAGCAAGUUGCUGAUGUCAAAACUGCUGCAAACUGUGAGGGGCAAAGAAUUGCUGAGCCGUCGCAAAGAUGGUUAGAAGAGGAAGUGACGUAUGUUUCUCACACACGCAGUACAAAUCGGGUUUCCAGGAUGGAUCGGUUAGCGACAGGGACGUAUAAUUCUGAUUUUUGGAUUUAAGUCCGUAGUUGAUCUGACGAGUCUCUUCAGUGACCCUCACUCUGAACUUUAAAACCCACUUUACAGAGUCGUGUUUUUCGCUUCUCUGAUGGUUUUAAAAAACAUGUUCAAUCUGCUCGACCGUCUCCUUUACAUCAAACGUUAAAACACGCCGUCCUCCACGAACACAGACUCCAGAGGACACGAUCAGCCGUGUGUAAUCUGCAUACAGUCAGCAUAUGUACACACACCUUAAAGUGGAUAUAGAUGCUGCUGAUAAUGAAAACACACACACACUCGUGUAUCACCAUGUGUAACACACACACACAUACACACACCUUUCCAGUGACACAGACUCCGCUCUGGUCUACGACAACGACAUGAUCUGCAUCUGAGAUUAAAAGGACUGCAGCUGCACGGACAAAAAAACUGUUAUUUUCUGUCCUCCGUUCAGUCCAGGGUGAAAAACGUGAACCCGGAGCUUCAUGCAUGUUUUUUUCACGCUCUCGUAAACGUCUCCUGGUUAGUUUUUGAGCUUUUGAACAAACAGCAGAAUCAUCGUGUUGAUUUCAUCGUAAACUUUUACAGAUGAGCUCAUCGCAGUUGUUGUUUUUAGUCGUUUUCUUGUGCAGCACUUUUCUGAAUGUAUUUUUACACCUUGCUGUGCAGUCCAGACGUCGCACCUUACACCUGAAUAGAGAGAGAGAGAAAUUCAUCUUUUCUGUGAUGUAACCAGCAAACCUGAACUCCUCCUGCGCCGGGCUGGGACCGCACGCUCCCUCAUGCUUCACUGUCUUUCCCACAUUUUCUUCGCGGUUCAAUAUUUUUGUAUUUGGAGGCUCCAAAGGUCACUGAGUAAUGUCGGCGCAGCUCCAGCGGAAAGACGACAUGCGUCUGAAACUUCACAGACGUAGUUUGAACUUUGAGGUGAGAGGGUUUACAAAAAAACAAAAAACAAAACAAAGAAAAGUGGAAAUUCAACGUGAAACCGCAGAGGUACUGAGUCCAGAACAUGAGAUUCAGAACCAGAGAAACAAAGAUGAUGAGACGAAUAAUAUCCUAAAAGGACAUGAAGUAACAGACUGACUCUCUGGUACAGCUUGUAAUGUGUCUAAUAGUGAAAUCUGGAAACAGAAAUCGUCUUUCUCUCUAAUUGUUUAUUCAUCCUAACACUUUGUUUCCUCUCUUGGCCUCCCUCACCGUCUGGGGACCCGUAAUUAAAGCAGAGUGGGAGGUUUUUAAUUCCUAACAUCGCACAAUAUGAACGGCAGCCAGCAGAAACCGGCGCCUUCCUCGACGCUUCGCUGCCACCCAGAAAAAUUCCAAUUAACCGAGUGAGAGG